rnacentral:rRNA from 1 species
CGCGUAGGCGGUUUGUUAAGUUGGAUGUGAAAUCCCCGGGCUCAACCUGGGACGUGCACCCGAUACUGGCCGACUAGAGUACGAGAGAGGGAGGUAGAAUUCCACGUGUAGCGGUGAAAUGCGUAGAUAUGUGGAGGAAUACCGGUGGCGAAGGCGGCCUCCUGGCUCGAUACUGACGCUGAGGUGCGAAAGCGUGGGGAGCAAACA